ACCUGACUGGCUUAGUUGAUAGAGCAUGUGACUCUUGAUCUCAGGGUUGUAAGUUCGAGCCCCUUGUUGGGUG
rnacentral:tRNA from 1 species